UAGGGAAUAUUAGUUAAUGUGCGAAAGCGCGAACUAGCAACGCCGCGUGUGCGAUGACGGCCUUCGGGUUGUAAAGCACUUUUGAAGGGGAAAAGGAAGGAUGGUACCCUUCGAAUAAGCCUCGGCUAACUACGUGCCAGCAGCCGCGGUAAAACGUAGGAGGCGAGCGUUAUCCGGAUUUACUGGGCGUAAAGCGCGUGCAGGUGGUUGGGUAAGUUGGAUGUGAAAGCUCCUGGCUUAACUGGGAGAGGUCGUUCAAUACUACCUAACUUGAGUGUGGGAGAGGGAGGUGGAAUUCCGGGUGUAGUGGUGAAAUGCGUAGAUAUCCGGAGGAACACCAGUGGCGAAAGCGGCCUCCUGGCCCAUUACUGACACUCAGACGCGAAAGCUAGGGUAGCAAACGGG
rnacentral:rRNA from 1 species